rnacentral:lncRNA from 1 species
CCCGCGGGCCGCAGACACACACAAAGGAGGAAGGGGAGCGACUGAACGCUCCCUAGUUACACUCGUUUUCUCUCAUUUCUGGAUAUUAGUGAUGAGUGACAGCUCGUGGGAAAUUCAUAGACACACCCAGAGAUAGAAUAGUGUUUCGACCAACGCCGAGAAUUUCCCGCUGGUAAUAAUUAGCGGCUUUAAGUAGUAACGACUCCGGCCCGGCACCACCCCACCCACACACACAGGACUUGCCAGAUGUACAAGUGCUGGGGAAAUGCGUUGGUGGUACAUCAGGGAAGACUAAUAAGUAGUGGUGGGUCGUGGGUGGCAGGUGGAACAGGAGAGCGUGCCUGGUGGCGGCGGAAACAUUGCCGUCAUUACUCAGUCCUCCACGAUGGCAGGCCUUGAAUGCGACGAUGCUUCACUGGGAACUACUAUUCCCGGAACAAAGGUUACGCAGAGCAGCUUACAGGGAGAAAAAAUGAUCAGAAAAUUAUACAAAAAAAAUGGUACAAAAAAUGGUCCGGAAAGGAAGUAGACCCUUGGAAGGAGUGAAGGAAGCUCAACCAAUCGUGAAGGAUGGACGAGGGAAGGAUGGCUGGAAGAAUAAAGGAAUAUGGGAGAGAUAGAAAAAAAUAAGUAAAACAAAGAAAAAGAAAUUAAAAAAAACACAGA